rnacentral:rRNA from 1 species
UACGUAGGGGGGCUAGCGUUGUCCGGAAUCAUUGGGCGUAAAGAGCGUGUAGGCGGUCCGGUAAGUCCGCUGUGAAAGUCGGGGGCUCAACCCUCGAAUGCCGGUGGAUACUGUCGGGCUAGAGUGCGGAAGAGGCGAGUGGAAUUCCUGGUGUAGCGGUGAAAUGCGCAGAUAUCAGGAAGAACACCAAUGGCGAAAGCAGCUCUCGUGGGACGGUACUGACGCUGAGGCGCGAAAGCUAGGGUAGCAAACGGG